GACGAACGCUGGCGGCGUGCUUAACACAUGCAAGUCGAACGGAAAGGCCUGCAGCUUGCUGCGGGUACUCGAGUGGCGAACGGGUGAGUAACACGUGGGUGAUCUGCCUUGCACUUCGGGAUAAGCUUGGGAAACUGGGUCUAAUACCGGAUAGGACAGCUGUUUAGUGUCAGUUGUGGAAAGUUUUUUCGGUGCAAGAUGAGCUUGCGGCCUAUCAGCUUGUUGGUGGGGUAAUGGCCUACCAAGGCGUCGACGGGUAGCCGGCCUGAGAGGGUGUACGGCCACAUUGGGACUGAGAUACGGCCCAGACUCCUACGGGAGGCAGCAGUGGGGAAUAUUGCACAAUGGGCGGAAGCCUGAUGCAGCGACGCCGCGUGGGGGAUGAAGGCCUUCGGGUUGUAAACUCCUUUCGACAGGGACGAAGCUUUUGUGACGGUACCUGUAUAAGAAGCACCGGCUAACUACGUGCCAGCAGCCGCGGUAAUACGUAGGUGGCAAGCGUUAUCCGGAAUUAUUGGGCGUAAAGCGCGCGUAGGCGGUUUUUUAAGUCUGAUGUGAAAGCCCACGGCUCAACCGUGGAGGGUCAUUGGAAACUGGAAAACUUGAGUGCAGAAGAGGAAAGUGGAAUUCCAUGUGUAGCGGUGAAAUGCGCAGAGAUAUGGAGGAACACCAGUGGCGAAGGCGACUUUCUGGUCUGUAACUGACGCUGAUGUGCGAAAGCGUGGGGAUCAAACAGGAUUAGAUACCCUGGUAGUCCACGCCGUAAACGAUGAGUGCUAAGUGUUAGGGGGUUUCCGCCCCUUAGUGCUGCAGCUAACGCAUUAAGCACUCCGCCUGGGGAGUACGACCGCAAGGUUGAAACUCAAAGGAAUUGACGGGGACCCGCACAAGCGGUGGAGCAUGUGGUUUAAUUCGAAGCAACGCGAAGAACCUUACCAAAUCUUGACAUCCUUUGACAACUCUAGAGAUAGAGCUUUCCCCUUCGGGGGACAAAGUGACAGGUGGUGCAUGGUUGUCGUCAGCUCGUGUCGUGAGAUGUUGGGUUAAGUCCCGCAACGAGCGCAACCCUUAAGCUUAGUUGCCAUCAUUAAGUUGGGCACUCUAAGUUGACUGCCGGUGACAAACCGGAGGAAGGUGGGGAUGACGUCAAAUCAUCAUGCCCCUUAUGAUUUGGGCUACACACGUGCUACAAUGGACAAUACAAAGGGCAGCGAAACCGCGAGGUCAAGCAAAUCCCAUAAAGUUGUUCUCAGUUCGGAUUGUAGUCUGCAACUCGACUACAUGAAGCUGGAAUCGCUAGUAAUCGUAGAUCAGCAUGCUACGGUGAAUACGUUCCCGGGUCU
rnacentral:rRNA from 1 species